rnacentral:lncRNA from 1 species
GGAAUGGGGAGGGCAUGGCCAGUGUCCAGUGAGAACAGAGAAUGCUCUAGGGUUCUGGGGCCGGACUUGGAGCUGUGCAGAGACCUGGGAUCUACCAGAGAUGCAGCCCCCAAGUACAUGGGGUAGUGAGGAAGCCCUCUGGUCUCUCUUCUCCCAUUCUUUUACUCUUUUCUUGUUCCUUCCACUGGCCCAAAAAACUGAACGCCAACAGGCAAGGGAUCCCAGGUGAAGCCUCACAGGAGGCUGACCUCCCAGGACUUACAUCAAGGCAGAUGGUGAGUGCCCCCCAAUGGUGAGUGCAUGUGCCAGCCAUGAUAGAUGGGAGUGGGAUGAUCCUCAGGCCCCUGGCAGAGAGUUCAGUUUCUGAGGUCAUCAGAGAAGAUUUGCCAGAGGCUUUCGCUUACCCAAGGGAAGUAAUGUUAAAGGGUCAUGUGUUUUUCUGAAGCAAAGUAUCGCUUUUACAGAGAAAUGGCUGCUACCUAGGGCCAGUGCCUUCACAGUUUGGUUAUGCUAAGUAGAAGAUACAGAUUUGUAAUGCCUAAAUUCUCACACUUCUAAUCCUACAGUCCAAUUAUUCUGUUAACCAGGCAUUUGCUACAAUGUGCUCUGAAGAAAUGGAUUGGAAAUAAACAAAUAAAUAAAUAAAUAAAUAAUUCCACAGGAGGAAAAAAAUGCGUUCUGAAAGGAUCAGGAUUUUCAAAGCCCCCAAGCUUCAACAUAUCCGAGGAUCGAAGGCCUGAAUAAAGUGGCAUCACAGAAGUGUGAGAACAGCCUUUCCCCAUUCUCCGGAGUGGAUCCAUGAGCCAGGAGUCAGGCCUGCACUUUGAGGAGCGGAAGUGCUUUUGUGAGGACAAGCAAGAAUGUCUUGUAAUUUCAACUACCCUUAAAGCUGUUUCAGGGUUCCCUGAUAAUGAACUAACUGAUACUGGGACUUCCCUUCUCCAUCCCCCAAAGAAAAGCUGCGUUCCAACUCAACACCUCAUAGAACCAGAGCCCCCUAAUAUCCCUAGGUGUGGGCAGCUGGCAUUCCCCAACAUUCCCCUAACACCCAGCACCUAAGCUAAGAAUGCUUGGGGCCUGAACCCCAAAUGUUUAUUCAGCCAUGUAAAGCCACUUGCACACUUGUCCUAUAAAAAAGGAAAGCAACAGAAUGUUUUUCUCCUCUUGGAGCAGAGCCCCACAGUGAAUCUAGCAAUGCACUGGCUCAAACAUGCCCCCUUUUCAGCAGCAUGCUGAAAGAAAUAGGAUCCAUGCGUCAGCUGGAAUUUCUAUCUCUGAGUUUCUACCUAAACUAAGUGAUACUUUCUGUUAUUCCCAGUCACAUCAAAACAAAUGUGAGAUUCAAAUUUUAAACUGGGCUAUACUGUAACAAAUUAGACUUGACUCUUUUUGUUUUGUUUUGUUUAAAUAACAGAAAGUGACUAGAAAACUAUAGGAUCCACCUAAGAUGCUAAGACAUGGCAAAGUGAGACCAAACAUAGCACAACAAAUAGUUGGAGACAAAAUAAAAGCAUUUUACAUUUGUGCACUACAAUGUUCAGGCUAUUCAACACACUGAUUUCACACAUACAGUCCCAUUUAUUGCCAACAAUAACCCUGCAAAGUAGGUACUAUUAUUGGGCACAUUUUACAUAUAAAACGACUUAAAAUUAGAGGAGGUAGUAUAUAUUUUCCUAAUUUUUGGCAGCCCAGCAUCUAAAGCCCUUUUCUAUGCUUGAAGAAUGCCCUGCCUUAUGAGUGAGUCUUGCUGGAAAGAAGAGACCAGCUUCCAAUAUAAAAACUGAAAAUACCAAAUACUUUUCCCAUAUUCCCUGAUAACUAUCACACUGACAUUAGAAGAGUCUCCACCAACAGAUGUGAGCAUGCCAGUUUUCCCCAGAAUCUAAAGAUACAAAGAAAGAGGAUUUUUGUGGGAAACCACUCUGGUGAAAAUGCCAGUGGAAGUCCUACACUGAACCCGAUUUCCAGUGGCAAGAAUUUUAGUGGCUCCAGCAGCGAUGCCCAGUGCUCCGUGACUAUGGGUUCACAAUGUACACAAACUGGUUGGGCCACUGCAGAUGAAAGAGAUGGCUUCAAGUGCUCAGUUAUGUGUCUUGAUUGGUAAUGUGGCCAUUGGCUGGGUAAUGUCCACACUGCUUCUCUGGCCCUUUUGAAGUGUCUGUUAGCCAUAAUAACUAGAUUUAUUUUCUGAUUAAAUUAGCUAGAAUUAGGUUCUGACUGACUUAGGAUAAGUAAUUGCUCUCUGAUCACACAUAGAGCAAAUGAUGGAGCUGGAAUUCCAGUCUUCACUAGGUUAUACUGAAUGAUGAGAUAAUGUUAUGGGCUGAAUUCAUGUGUUGAAGUCCUCAUCUCCAGAACCUCAGAAUGUCUGUAUUUGGAGAAGAGUUUUUAAUGUUGUAAUUCAGUGAAAGUGAGGUCAGUAGGGUGGCUAUAAUUCAAUAUGACCUGAAUCCUUACGAGAAUGAAAAUCUGGACACAGAAAUCCGUGUGGGAGGCCAUGUGAAGACACGGAGAAAGCAUCCAUCUGUGAGCCAAAGAGAGAGGCCUCAGAAGAAACCACCCCUGCAGACACCUUGUAAUUGGACGUCUAGCCUUCAGAACUGUGAAACAGGAAAUUUCUGUUAUUUAAGCCACCCAGUCUAUGGUACUUUGUUAUGGCAGUCCUAAUAAACUAAUACCAGGAAUGAGGAAUACGAAAGAAUUCAAGAUGAUCUCAAAGUUGCUCAAUGAGGUGACUUUAGAAAAGAUGAAGGGUAUGAGAGGAGUAGCCAUUGCAGAAGGAGAACAAGAUCAUGAAUUCAAUUCAGAAAACUUUGAUUUUGAGACCUCUGCAGGAGAAAAUAAGAGAAAGCUUCAAAGGCCUAGCUUCCUUUAUAGAGUCCUGGGAGAGACCUAAAGUUGAGGAAUAGAGAGAAAAGGCACCUCUGGAUACUCACUGGCAUUGGAUCCAGCUCUGAGUUGCUUGCUUUCUGGGCUUCAGAAUGACAAAGCAGGUUUAUGCACAGAGUUUUUCAAUAAGCAAGUCCCCACUGAAGGUCACAGGCCUAUUUCAGCAGUGGGAGAAACCACAGUCAGCAGUAUUGGGCCAUGCAAGUGAAGGGUUGUUCACUGGAGAGGUUUGUUACCUUAUUGGGAAGAUGAAGUUUUCAUCCAGCAUUAAGCCUAUGGCUAUAAUUCAGGGAUGAGACAAGGGUGUUUGCAUUUGUUAGCAUGAAGACAAACAAAUCCAACACCCUUAGGUCAGAAUUUCAGCUUAACAUGGUAUCUUGUGCUUGAAUAUCCCUUGCAACCUCUCCUGACUUUCCACUUUCCAAAGUGAGUCUUUUAAAAUGCUCACGUUUUGGCUCACACCUGUAAUCCCAGCACUUUGGGAGGCCGAGGCGGGCGGAUCACGAGAUCAGGAGAUCAAGACCACGGUGAAACCCCGUCUCUACUAAAAUACAAAAAAUUAACCGGGCGUGGUGGUGGGCUCCUGUAGUCCCAGCUACUCGGGAGGCUGAGGCAGGAGAAUGACGUGAACCCCGAAGGCGGAGCUUGCAGUGAGCCGAGAUUUCGCCACUGCACUCCAGCCUGGGCGACACUGCGAGACUCCGUCUCAAAAAAAAAAAAAAAAAAAAAAAAAAAAAGGCCACGUUUAUUGGUCUUAUGCCUAUAAAAAAAGUCUAUGUGGACAACCACUCAUUGAUUCAAUAAAUAAUGCUUAAGUGCUUACUCUGUGCCAGGAUUCUGAAAGGCACUGUGGGUAAAUGGUAGGCAAAUCUAAACCUGGUCCUGCCUUCAGAGAGUCUACUGUUUGAACGGAAAAAGAAGAGAAUGAGGCCAAACAAGAGGUUGUUCACCUGAGGAAAUGGAUGGGAGCUGGGCAAGCCUACCUGGCAGAGGCUCACCUGGCUGAGUACCUAUGAAAUUGCCAUGGAUGAUCUCAAAAUUCAAAGAAAAGUCCAGUGCAUAUAAAUAAAAACCUUGAAAACACAAAUUCAUAGGCAAAAGGCUGAGAGGCCACAUAAAUUACUUUUAGUGAAAACAACAAAUAAUAUUAGUAUUAUUUCUGUUUCAGUAUUCAAGGCAGUGGUGAUGGGAACUUGAGGGCAUGAGAAUCAGGGCAAAGAGAAUUACUGAAAGAGUAAAACUAUCUUAAAGAUGUGAGGUUGGCCACUGAUGGAGAGGACAAGCAGGACAGGGAUCGGGGGACCAAAGUCCAGCUGCACUGACUCCAUUCAGCUCUGCUCUGUUCACCCUCAUCCCAAACCUGUCCCCAUCCCCAGACAAAUAGAAGCUGUGGACAAAGAUUGUUUUUGCCCUCCACAUCUCCAAUACUCUGUUUUCAAAUGACUGCAACCAACCCAACAAAAGAACUCACUUAACAUAUUAGUAGUAUCUUAAAUGAUGCAAUUUUAUCUUGUCCAUGAAAUAGCUUCAAUUAAAACAAAUUAUCUCUUUCCAUUCAUAGCUUAAUUCAUAUAGCACAUCUGAUAGAGCCUUUUUAAAUGCUCACUUUUAUUGGUCUUAUUUCAAAAUUAAUUCAUGUUUAUAGUCUAGCAUUUAGAAAAUUCCAAGGCAAAGCAGGCUACAUUUGUGUGUUUCCUCUUGGUGUCUCCAGUGCCCCAUGCCGCCACUGCACAGAGGACAUUAAGCAUUGAACACAGAGAACUAAACCACUUAAGGAACCACCCAUAAUCUCAAUACCAAUAGAUACUUACCCUCACUUUUUUGAUAUGUUUUUUCCAGUCACUUGUGUAUGUAAGCAUACAUACAAAAACAGGUGUGUGUGUGUGUGUAAAAAUGUGUGUUUACAGAGUUCGUUUUACAGGAAAGCACAAAGUCAGAUAGUUGUUAUCGGGCACCUAUGGGAAAUGUCAUAGGAGACUAAAGAUGAGACGAAAACUUUGGGACCACCACUCUUAAUCAUCCUAAUACUUGAUCUUUCCAUGGCUACCCUGAGAUAGAAUAAAUGGCUUUUGUAAAACAACUUAAACCUCAUCUCCUUAAUUGAGGUAUCCUGCUUUCUUACUCUUAUUUACGUGUCUAAGUCAGGGAGAAACAUCCCAUUAUGUCACAAAUAAGAUUAAAGGUAGUUGUAAUUAAAUUUCACCAUGUGCCCUGAGUUUUCCCACCUGAGAAUUAUAAGAAAAAAAUCAAAAGGUCUUCUCCUCUUACUAGACUACCCACCAAAUGGUCAUUACAUUUUCCUGUAGGCUGCAGAUAAAAUCUCUCUAUCAUAAGUCUCCCAAUCACCAAGUGAGAAAACACCACUCUGGGGUCCAGGGAUGUGUAGGCAAUUGAAGAGUUUCUCUUUUAAGAAUGGCAGCUCAUUAGGGUAAGUGUCCAAGAACAUAAUGAAAAAAUUGUGGUAUAUUUAUACUGGGGGAUAUGCCAGAUUAAAAAACGAACACAUUUGAGUUACAGAUAGCAACAUGGAUAAAUCUCUAAUGCAGAAUUUUAAUAAGAAAAAGGCAUAUUGCAGAAUUAUAGGUGCAGUAUAAUACCAUGUAUAUAAAGUUUAAACACAAAAACAUGCUAUAUAUCUUUUAUGGAUAUAUCCUUGUGCAGUAAAAAAUAUAAAAUAUGCAUAAGAAUGACAAAGACAAAUUUUAGAGGAUUUAUUCCCUUAGGGAGAAAAGGAAACGGCAUCACAAGGAUUACAAGAUUUGAAUUGAAUCUACAAUAUUUUAUUCCUUAAGCUGAGUAGCGGGUACAUGGGUGUUCAUAUACUCAAAACCAUUUUUGGCACAUGAAAUAUUUUAAAAUUUUUUAAAAAGCUAGAUAGUAUGAUUGACAUCUUCAGAUACUUGAAGAUCUGGCAUGUUGAUGAUGGAAAGUAUCCUAUGACUAAGUAGGUAAAGCUAUUAUGAAGGCAAAUUUUAGGUCAUUCUUAGGAAAAACCUAAAAGGGCUGUCUAAAAAUGAACAGUGUCUUCUACAUGAUUAAGGAGUAAAACAGAGUUAAGGUCUUCGGAGGUAGCAAGUCACAGUGCAAGUAGAGUUCACUUGUCUUUGUCUUGAAAGCAAAGAUUUCUUUUCUCUUGCAAAAUUCCCGGGACAUAUCCUGAUAAAGCUUUACAUCUCAGCAGCAUCACUCUGAUUGCUCUUUUUUCAGUUGGUGUCAUUGGAAGCCCCUAAACCCUAUUUAACUUCAGUGCCAUUGACUGGCACUUCCUGCCACUUACAUCUUUGCCAUUUGGCAGUGCCUGGGUUGGACAGAUCUGCCACCUGGUUCUGGUUCUGCAUUAUUGUCAUUCCUUGUGCCAGUCAUAAGGAUUCACUGGCACCCCUCUGAGAUUAGGAGUUCUCCAGGUCUGGAGAUAUUAAAAAAGAGAGAGAUGGUCAGCGAUGCUAUAGAAGGGAUUUUAGUAGUCUCUGGUAUGCUGGAGCACAUAACCUUUGAGUAUGGAUUUCCAUAUUCAUUUAUUCAAGAAAUGUUUAGUGAGUGUUUACUUUGUGCAAAGCACCUUGCUCGUUAAGCUUCUAUGGCUCUAGAAUUUGUCUUUGAAAAUGCGUCUCUAACUUUACAGAAAUGAAAAUUGAGACAUGAUGGGAAAACUUAUUUUAAGCAAACAAUAAGGCAGGCAGGCAGGCUGUGGUUUGCAGACCGACCACUUCUAGCCUUAUUGCCAAGAGCACUACGAGAGUCACAGGAACAUUUUGGAGAUAAUGUUACAUUCACAGACUUGUACAUGUCUUACAGUGAAAGACACCCCAGAGGUUAUCCAAUUCAAAUACUUCAUUUUACAGACGAGGAAACAAAAGCCUGGGGAGGUAUGUGGCUAACUGAUUGCAGAAUCUAUUCUCAGAUAUGGUAUUUCCUUCCCAACCUUGAAAGUUGUGUUCCUGAAAACCUCCAUGGAAGGAGAAAUUACACUUGAGGAACUUACGACCUUAGGAAGAAAAUAGAGUUUGGGGAGUAAGAUAGUGAGUGAAUCUGAGAAAGUUAUCAUCAUUGUUUUAUAUCUACUAAUAAAACAAUGUAGGUACCAUUGAUACCCACUUUAUUUUAUGCCGAACGCAUUUGUAAUGGUGAAUCUUGUACAGGUGAUUUUAUUUACUUCUUAGAAUUCCUUAUUAACACUUCUCUAGGCUCUCUAUACACAAUUUUUGUAAAACUUCUUGUGAGUCAUUGCCUUUUUGUGUAAAUACUGGUUACAAUGGAUUGUUUUCUGUUUCAGGUCCUGUUGUCUCUGCCUUUUUGCAUCUUUGACAUUAUCAUUGUAACUUAUAACUUCUAACCUCUACUCUGACUCAACUUGGUUGUUUCCUGAUUCCUCUCUCUCCUUCUUGCUGUUCCUUCUCUCUGCUGUCCUUUAACUGUAGCUGCUCACCAGGACUAUGCUGUAAACUUUCACCUCCUCUCACUGUUUACUCUACCUAUGUAACUAUCAUGUUUGAUAAUGAGGUCCUGCUGAAUAAGCCUGUUUGCUGUCUUUCCAGGCUGUGCUUUCCCACUCCUGCAGCUACUGCCUUAAUUCAGGUUAUCACUGUCUCUCACUAGGACCCCUGCACUAAUCUCCUUGAUUGGUCAAAGGUUUCAUUAUUUGCAUUGUGCUCUGAGUGAAAUUUUCUUAUGACGGCUUACAGUUCCCAGUGGCUGCAUGUGCCUAUAGAACACUAACUUCCUAAGCAUUUCAUCCAAGGCCCUCCACCUUAGCUCUUGUACCCUUUACUCCAGCCAUAUUUAUUGACCCUACUUGAUGGCCUAAUGUACCAGACUAUUUGGCAUCUUCAUGCCUUUGUGAACUGACUUUUCUUCAUCAGGAAUGCCCUUCACUCUGCCCCUCUCACGCUACCCAUUUCCCCUCCCACGUGCAAUCACCUGCCUGGUGAACAUCUACUCUUCCUCGAAAACUUUGCUCAUACCAUCACCUCUCCCUUGGAGGUACCACUUCCUACUCCUACUUUCUGCUCAUCUCGUACCUCAUUAAAGAGAAUAGGAGGUUCCCACCACAAAAUCUGAAAGCCUCCUGCCACAAAACCUGUCUUCUUCCCUCUGUGCAACUGAAUGUGACUCCUUGUAAUCAAAUGCUCAUCCCUCAAUUCAUGUUGGGAAUCCCAUCUCUCUCACUUUCUCAAGAAGUUCAAUGCUUCUGUCAGACUGUCUCCAGUCAAUUAUUCCCAUCAGCAUAUAAACAUAAUCCAGUAUUACUGUCCUAACCAAUACUCCAUAUUGAUCCACAUCCCUUUCCAGCUACCAUUCUUUUCUGUCUUUCACAAUAAAAUUCCAUAAAAUAGUUGUGUACACACAGCACUUUUAUGUUUUCACUUCACAGUCACUUUGGAAUUCACUUCAAAUUGGCAUUCACCCACAUGACCCAGUUGGUCACUAAUGACCUUUAUAGUGCUAUGUCCACAUUUUCAUCUCACUAGAACUUUCAGCAACAUCCAACAAUUGACCAUUCUCUUCUCAAAAUUGGCCAUUCUCUUCUUGAAAUUGUUCUUGGCUUACAUGAUUCCAUAUUUCCCUGGUCUUUUAUCUGCUUCUCUACCUGCUCCUCCUAAGCCUCUGUUGUGUCUUUUCUUCCACUUUCUAUAAUACCUCUAAGUAUUGAAUUUCCUCAGUAUUCUGCUCUGAACCCCAUGCCUUAUGUUUCCAUAAAUAAUCUCAUUCAUCCUCAUGGCUUAAAAUACCAAUUCCAAGCCAAUGACUCCUAUGUCUGUAUCUCUAGUCCUAACCUCUCCUCUGACCUCCUGACUUAUACUCUUGUCUUUAUAACACCCACUUAUGAAUGCUUCAUGGACAUCUCACAUAAAUAUAUCCAAGACUGCAUUUUUAUUUCCCUCUGAAAACCUAGUCCUCCUUCCAUCCUCCCCACCUCCCUUUUUUGGCAACAUUAUCCACGCUGUUGAUCAGGUCUGGAUCCUGGGAGUCACUAAUUAUUUCUCCCUGUAUUUCUUCCUCUAGUCCAAUUCGUCACUAAGUCUGAUCAUCUGUCUCCUAAAUGCAGCAUAAGGAGAUCCACUUUUCUUUAUCGUUACUGCCACAUUGUAGUUUGAUCUACUAUUAUUUUAAACUUAACAACCACAAUACCUUCAAACUGAUCUCCAUGCACACAGAACACAGUGACUCUCAUCCUUAAUUGAAUCUCUACACAGCCACAGAAACAGUCUUUCUUGAAACAUAAAUCCCAGCAUGACACUGCCUGACAUGCAAUCUCUCUUUGCACUUUGUCUUAGUCCAGGUACAUCAGUGUUGCUAUAAGUCCUGUUGGUCAGCCUCCUGCCCCGUACCCUAAGCUCAUCUUACAUCAGCGAGUCCUCACUCUCCACUCUCUAGACUGACUCCUGAUGUUUUCUCAAGCAAGUUGAUUUCUUUCUCAUCUUAAUCCUUCACAGGUGGUACAUAGUGCUUCCCGAGUUUAGAUCUCCACUCUCCCUUAUGUUCUCAUAAAGGAUUCAUAUGUCCUUUAGGUCUUGGCUUAAAUGCCAUCUAUUCAGAGAAGCCUUCCCUGGCGACCUUAUCUGAGUCAAUCUUCCAUUGUUAUAUUGUUAUAUUGAUUUGCUUUGUUUCUUGCUACUUCUUCUACUUGACUCGGUAGAAGGCUCUGCAUAAUUGACCAAAAUAUAUACAGUGUUUUUCAGAGUGCUAGUCACCUAUUAGUACUGAAGAAUUAUUUGUUGAAUAACUUAAUGAUUUUUUUGCAGUUACACGAGUGUUGUUUUGAUUGACUGAAAAUAGAUUGCCUAAGAUGACAUGAAAGAUCAAAGGUGAAGAGUGGAAGAUAGCACCACUUUGGGUUAAAAGUUUACUUAAGUCAGCAACUCCUCAAGAAACAGCUACCAGCAUUCCUGGGACUAUUAUGCCCUGGUCUACUUGUAGCCUGUUUGUAUUCCAGCCUACUUUGGCACCUUGCCGUCUCUGCUUACCGACUUUCUGCAUAAGAGUGAAAUAGAAAGUGACUUGGAACCAUGUAUACCUAAAGUGUGACAUUUAAAAAAACGUCCUCAGAAAAACUAAUAUCCUGGUUAUUUUUGAAUGUGCUAAGAGACUCUUUUUUUUAAUCUUGUUUUUUUAUUUUGAAUAUAGAGCACAUUGAGGUUUAAAAUGGAAAAUUCUAUUAAAAAUAAAAGGCAUACGUUUACAUAUCUUACAAUUACCUCUGCUUCUGUCCCUCCCAUUCCUUAUGAG